CUGACAUUACCUCCCUGUUAAGCUAUCAAUGCAGUAUUUUGGCCUUAGGAUAUCUUACCAGGAAAAAAAAGAAUCUUUUUCUAUUAAAGCUAUAAAUUUUGCUGAAGUUCAAGAGAGAUACAUCAAGUAUGAAGUGUGACACUCUAUUUGCCCAAAAGCUAGAGUGAAGGGUCAUGUGUUCAUCUUGUCACUGCCCCCUUCCCUCAGGUCCAGGCUUCCUCCCGCCUCGUUCAUUUUCUGCCUCUCAAGUCUGUUUGCUCCUAUGCAUUUCACCCUGCUCUAAAGGGUUCCUAAAGAAACAAACUCAAGGGAGUCAUCAUCUUUACAAUUCUGAAUCAGCACAUCAGCUCAUUCUGAAAUAAUUCCAACAUCAGUCUUACCUGUUUUUCUCCAAAUGGUGUAAAAAGGCACAGAGUUCAAAGACAUACCAGCUGUCUGCACCGUUCCAAGAUUCUGAGCUUGUUGGCUGACCUUGGCUAGUACUUGUAUCUAUUUACCUUUGAAUUUAGCAAAACAGGAGUCUUAUUUUCUUAACCCACUACACCAAGUUUCUCCCUACAAACCACAUGUAUGCACUGUAAUAAACCCGAAUGGCUAACCUAAUAAGGUUUUCGAUUCCCGCCCUCAUUUCCUCUUCCCCUUUUCUACUAUCAGCCCCCUUUUAAAAAGUAUUUCUUUUAAGCCAAAUGAAUAUUCAUAAGUUGCAACAACUGUGUAUUGAUUUCAUACUACCUUCAGGGCAUUCUGAUAGACUAGAAGGACCCAAAGUGCUGAACACCAGGGUUUGUGAAUUUCAGAAUAAGGAGCAGGUGCUCUGGACCACUGAUGAGUGGUGCCCAUAGGGAAAAGAAAGCUGGGCGGCCCACGGCCUGCAGGCAAAGCUUGAGCCACAGGGGGAAAGGUUUAUCAAAGAUACCAAACCUGCCAGACAAGAAGGAGAGAAGGGAACACUACCAGCAAGAAGCAACUCAAUGGGCAAAGACACAGGAACGAACAGUGUGAGGCUUGCUUGGGAAACAGCUGUGCCCUUUGGCCACGCACAGGCUUACUCACUUAUGUAACAUAUACUUACUUACCUAGUGCUUUGUCCGCAGGAGAUUCCGUUUUCUUCUUAGAAGGGAAAUCAUCCCAAGCAGACAAGCAUUGCUUUACCUUCCUUUCAAAAUGGCAAGCUCUCCCAACAGAAACUUGUUAGGCUGUGGUCUUACAAAGUAAAAAGAAAAAGGAAGAAGGAGACGUGCUAACUGCUAACUUCUGGUGCAAUUAAAAAAAAAUGGGUUUUGUUUUUGGUUUUGGGUUUUUUUUUGUUUUGUUUUGUUUUGCUCCAGGAAGCUGGGCUACCGGCUCUGGUUGUGAGUAUUCCAGAAGUUCUGAUAAAAGGAAAACACCUAUUUCUGUUCAAGUGGAGCUCAAAAGAAUAAGCUACGCACAUCGUCUUCCCUUUACUUUCCCGGCCCAGACGGAGGCACAGCUAAGUGACUCGUACAAAUUUUAUCACUGUGACAGCUGUCUUCUGCCGCCUCACCUCACCUCACUUCAACAAACAAACAAACAAACAAACAACAGCAACAAAAAAACAGAAAGAGAAAGGCCUCGUCUGCAUAUAAUCCAAAAAUAUCUUCCACCUUUGCUCUUGCUUUGGUGGAAACCCAGAUCGUAGAUGUUUUAGGAGCCCACACCCUUCGGCAUUAGGCAUCGCUGGCUCUGAAGCUGGUUGGGAAGCUCCUUAGAUAUAAGACCAUAGAUAAGGGACGUCUCAAAGUCCCAUUUUCCUCAUAAGAAAAGGAGGGAAACCAUACAUCAGAGGGCGGUGGUGAUGAUUGCCUAUGAUUUGGGGUAUAAAGUGCUUGGUACGGUAGGUGCACGCAGGGACUGCAGAAAACACACCGCAUCACCAGUGUUUACCACCUCCUGGUGCCCCUCAAGAUAGGGACUGGCCUUUUACUUCAGCCCCUCACACAGGACCCAGCACAGUGGAGGGGACUGGUAGGUAGCUAGUGGGUGAAUAGGGGACUGGGAGGGUCAUCACACGGAAAGAUAAAGUCCUGGAUUUGUUUUCCUAUUUUCUGCCAUCGGAGAUGUAAAGUUUGUAUCUUAAUCCUCCAAAUUGCAUUCCUACUUGGGACUUGCAGUGUUCAUUCACCAGGGUUUGGGGUUCUACUUUUUAGAAAUAACCAAACAAUCACAGUAACCAUGUAUGUUGAACGGAUCUGUGAGCAGCUGCUGUUCUCUGCCACUAGAUGGCGUCUAUCCAUAAAAACCCUGAACACACCAGAGUCGACAAGGUAAUAAUUCUAAAGAAAUUAAUACAGAAAAGGCGUGUGUGUGUGUGUGCGUGUGCGUGUGUGUGUAUACAUAGUCACACAUACAUAUAUUUACCUUUUGCAUAUGAUUUCUUCUUAAUAUUGGCUAUGAAUCUAAAGCUGUCUACAGUUUGGCAAACCCUUGCUUUCCUAAUUUGAAGUCUCCGUAGUAACAUUCGCGGUGGUUAUUUUACAUAUGAUUUCUCUUUAAUAUCGGUUAUGAAUCCAAAGCUGUCUACAGCUUGGCAAACCCUUGCUUUCCUAAUUUUAACAGUCUCCUGCAACUACGUUUUUAGUUGUUAAUUAAACUCUAAGCAGCAUCCACGUUCAAGACGUUUCACGGCACCUGGUGACUGCUCUCCCAUCUUGUGGCAAAGUUGAUGGAAAAACUCACCCUCUGCGAAGAAAGAAGUUGAAAAGAUUUGGGAGAAAAGGAAGGGGCAGACAGAAGGUUCUGCAGGCCUUAGUCAUUCAUUAAGCAGGCGCCGGGGGUGGGGCACCAGGGAUCGCUAGCACCGUGCAAGGCCCUGCAGCCGCGGGGAUGAAGACAGUUUACUUCGAGGAUGUGCUUGCUAACCCAGGAAGGAGAAUGUUCCAACUGUAAGAGACAAAUGUUCACAGGACGACACAUCAAUCAUCAGGGUAUGGAUGUUUCUUAGAGAUUAACAGGACAUAUAAGGGAGAAAUAGAGAUCAAGAAAGUGCCAUCAUGACUAGAGAGUUUCUGCUCUCCAGUCUUCAGGUGGAUUCAUAAGACCACAUUUCUUCAUGCCGACAUUUGGUUGUCUGUGCAUUUAGGCAAGAAAAGCUGAACUCGAGGGGCACCUGGGUGGCUCAGUCAGUUAAGCAUCUGCCUUUGG